AGGAAGAAGAAAUUGUCGAGACGAAUAACAUGAGGUCAUAUAGAAUCCCACUUUUGGUGAUUUCAAGUCAAGAAAGUAAAACUACUGGUCAGAAGUUAUAUGUAAGGCUCUUUCAACGUAAAUUAAGCUGGAUUAAGAUGACCAAAUUAGAGUAUGAAGAGAUUGCCUUAGACUUAACACCUGUGAUUGAAGAAUUGACGAAUGCAGGCUUUCUACAGACAGAAUCUGAGUUGCAAGAACUCUCUGAAGUGCUUGAACUCCUUUCUGCUCCUGAACUAAAAUCCCUAGCCAAGACCUUCCACUUGGUGAAUCCCAAUGGACAGAAACAGCAGCUGGUGGACGCC
rnacentral:lncRNA from 1 species